CAGCCGCCGCGGUAAAACGGAGGGUGCAAGCGUUAAUCGGAAUUACUGGGCGUAAAGCGUGCGUAGGCGGUUCGUUAAGUCUGUUGUGAAAGCCCCGGGCUCAACCUGGGAAUGGCAAUGGAUACUGGCGAGCUAGAGUGUGUCAGAGGAUGGUGGAAUUCCCGGUGUAGCGGUGAAAUGCGUAGAGGUCGGGAGGAACAUCAGUGGCGAAGGCGGCCAUCUGGGACAACACUGACGCUGAGGCACGAAAGCGUGGGGAGCAAACAGGAUUAGAUACCCCCGUAGUCCCUGUCUCUUAUAC
rnacentral:rRNA from 1 species